GCCUGCUACUGACCCUGCAGCCAGAACAGAAGUUCCAGAAAGUGAAGGGAUUUGGAGGGGCCAUGACAGAUGCUGCUGCUCUCAACAUCCUUGCCCUGUCACCCCCUGCCCAAAAUUUGCUACUUAAAUCGUACUUCUCUGAAGAAGGAAUCGGAUAUAACAUCAUCCGCGUACCCAUGGCCAGCUGUGACUUCUCCAUCCGCACCUACACAUAUGCAGACACCCCUGAUGAUUUCCAGUUGCACAACUUCAGCCUCCCAGAGGAAGAUACCAAGCUCAAGAUACCCCUGAUUCACCGAGCCCUGCAAUUGGCCCAGCGUCCCGUUUCACUCCUUGCCAGCCCCUGGACAUCACCCACUUGGCUCAAGACCAAUGGAGCGGUGAAUGGGAAGGGGUCACUCAAGGGACAGCCCGGAGACAUCUACCACCAGACCUGGGCCAGAUACUUUGUGAAGUUCCUGGAUGCCUAUGCAGAGCACAAGUUACAGUUCUGGGCAGUGACAGCUGAAAAUGAGCCUUCUGCUGGGCUAUUGAGUGGAUACCCCUUCCAGUGCCUGGGCUUCACCCCUGAACAUCAGCGAGACUUCAUUGCCCGUGACCUAGGUCCUACCCUCGCCAACAGUACUCACCACAAUGUCCGCCUGCUCAUGCUGGAUGACCAACGCUUGCUGCUGCCCCACUGGGCAAAGGUGGUACUGACAGACCCAGAGGCAGCUAAGUAUGUUCAUGGCAUUGCUGUACAUUGGUACCUGGACUUUCUGGCUCCAGCCAAAGCCACCCUAGGGGAGACACACCGCCUGUUCCCCAACACCAUGCUCUUUGCCUCAGAGGCCUGUGUGGGCUCCAAGUUCUGGGAGCAGAGUGUGCGGCUAGGCUCCUGGGAUCGAGGGAUGCAGUACAGCCACAGCAUCAUCACGAACCUCCUGUACCAUGUGGUCGGCUGGACCGACUGGAACCUCGCCCUGAACCCCGAAGGAGGACCCAACUGGGUGCGUAAUUUUGUCGACAGUCCCGUCAUUGUAGACAUCACCAAGGACACGUUUUACAAACAGCCCAUGUUCUACCACCUUGGUCACUUCAGCAAGUUCAUUCCUGAGGGCUCCCAGAGAGUGGGGCUGGUUGCCAGUCAGAAGAACGACCUGGACACAGUGGCACUGAUGCAUCCCGAUGGCUCUGCCGUUGUGGUCGUGCUAAACCGCUCCUCUAAGGAUGUGCCUCUUACCAUCAAGGAUCCUGCCGUGGGCUUCCUGGAGACGAUCUCACCUGGCUACUCCAUUCACACCUACCUGUGGUGUCGCCAGUGAUGGAGUGGAUACUCAAGCUCAGCCUGAGCAUUAAAGGGACAGAGUCAGCUCACACGCUGUCUGUGGCUAAAGAGGGCACAGCAGGGCCAGGCCAUGCCCAGGGCCCGGGUGCCUGGGGCCCGAGCAGGCGUUGCCCGCUGGAUGGAGACAAUGCCGCUGAGCAAGGCGUAGCCCACCAUGGCUGCCAGUCCUGCCAGCACAGAUAAGAUCUGGUUCCGGCGCCGGUAUGGCUCCUCCUCAGUCUCUGGGCCUGCUGGUGUCUGGCGUGGCGGUGGUACCUCAGCUGAGGGUCAAGGAAGGAAGCCACCCAUUACCCUCUUGGAGUCAGACUCACGCAUCUCCAAAGAAGAACUUUUGAGAGCCCAGGCGCUGAGAGAGCAGGGUCAGACACUCUCGAGCCUCUCGGUACAGCUGUAGGGACGACACAGGUAGGCUUGCAGCUGCGGGAACAGUUCCACCUCCCCACCUAAGCAUUCCCAUUCCUGGCCAGCAUCCUUAGGGCUCAUCUCAUACAACAGGCCCCGGUCUCAGAGCUACCUCCUUCUCCAGCUCUUCCUCAUCCUCAGGCACGUGCUCCCCACUCAGCAGCUCUAGCCGUUCCAUGUACUGCCGCUGCAUGCGGCCAGGCAGGAAGAAGUUGAGGGGAAAGGGCAUAGCCUCUGCAUACCACUUCCGGGUCACUUCCACAUAGUUCUUGGUGUCUAUCCAGAAAGUAUGUACCUGGAUUGGGUAGGCAGGAAGAAACAGGCAGGUCUGAGCCAGUGCACCUGUCUGAUUCAAGGUGGGCUCUGACCCCCAUGCUGUCCUGAGUCUCUGGGUGGGUCUAUGUGUGCCCAACCCCUCCCCUGCUAACCAUGGAUGCUGGGAGGUCUGGGCACACUCACCAGCACCGGGAGCAACUUCUCCUCCAGGAGAGACAUGAAGGCCAGGGUGUCUGCCCCUUGCCGAGCUGACAGAUCAUAAUCAGCAUUGUACUUCUGUGGAGGAAAUAUCCAUGGCGUGGACACUGGGGGGCUGCAGGGGCACUUCACCAGGGAAGAAGGAGUCCUGUC